rnacentral:rRNA from 1 species
UUCGUCCAAGUGAAGCAGAGGACAGUGGCGGACGGGUGAGUAACGCGUGAGGAACCUGCCCUUCAGAGGGGGACAACAGUUGGAAACGACUGCUAAUACCGCAUAAUGUGUUCGGAAGGCAUUUUCUGGAUACCAAAGGAGAAAUCCGCUGAUGGAUGGGCUCACGUCUGAUUAGCUAGUUGGUGAGGUAACGGCUCACCAAGGCUGCGAUCAGUAGCCGGACUGAGAGGUUGAACGGCCACAUUGGGACUGAGACACGGCCCAAACUCC